ensembl:snRNA U6 U6 spliceosomal RNA
GUGCUUGCUUCAACAGCAUAUAUACUAAAAUUGGAAUAAAACAGAGAAUAUUAUUAUGGCCCCUGCACAUGAGGACCCACGAUUACAUGAAGUGUUCCAUAUUUUC